CAGUCGCCGCGGUAAAACGGAGGGUGCAAGCGUUAAUCGGAAUUACUGGGCGUAAAGCGCACGCAGGCGGUCUGUCAAGUCAGAUGUGAAAUCCCCGGGCUUAACCUGGGAACUGCAUUUGAAACUGGCAGGCUAGAGUCUUGUAGAGGGGGGUAGAAUUCCAGGUGUAGCGGUGAAAUGCGUAGAGAUCUGGAGGAAUACCGAUGGCGAAGGCAGCCAUCUGGCCUAAUACUGACGCUGAGGUACGAAAGCAUGGGGAGCAAACAGGAUUAGAUACCCCGGUAGUCCCUGUCUCUUAUAC
rnacentral:rRNA from 1 species